rnacentral:rRNA from 1 species
GACAGAGGCCUCAAGCGUUAGGCGGAAUCACUGGGCUUAAAGCGUGUGUAGGCGGAUCGUUAAGUGUCUUGUGAAAUCCCACGGCUCACCCGUGGAACUGCUGGGCAUACUGGCGAUCUUGGGCCAACUAGGGGCAACUGGAACAAGCGGUGGAGCGGUGAAUGCGUAGAUAUCGAGAGGAACACCAGUGGGCGAAGGCGAGUCCCUGGAAACUCCUGACACUGAGGCACGAAAGCUAGGGGAGCGAAACAGGAGUUAAGAAUGACC